UUGUUAGUGAUGUGCUUCCUUUGCUUAGAGUGAUGCAUUUUAAUAUAACUUAAGACCUCUUAAAAAUAAUACCGUUUAACAGAUAUGUUUGCUCCCUGACAGGUAUGUGUUCUCAGAAAAGUGAAUGAGAAUUUAAACAAAGCAGGAAAUCCAUGUCAGAGUUUAAGAUAUGUGCUUAUACUAAUUGUUUUUACUUUAAAGACAUGCCUGACAGGAAACUGUGGAAAUUAUUCUAAUUAAAACAGCAACAACAGCAACAACAAAAAACCGACUUCGGAAUGUGAGAGAAGUCAAUAUUCAGAAGUAUCUGGGUCGUUCCUUCUUGUAGUUGGAGCUGAGAACUCAAGGAAUGCCGACGGACAAGCUCUAGCAAGUCCACCCAUUGCAAUGUAACAGGAUGCUGCCUUCCAGCUGACUGAGGAGGGAUGGAAGCGUGAAGGUUUUAGUAUGAACAACUGUGCAGCUCAGCUAGUAGGAGGAAUUUACUAAUGAAAAAACAUUUGCUUGCUGCUGAGGAGGACACAAACCUGGGAGAAAGCCGCCUCGCACGCUGCAGCUGCACCUUGUGGAUAUAGAACUGCUCCUGCCCGCGGCGCCUCAUCGGAUGUGCAGCUCCCUAGGGGUCCGUCAGCCGGCUGUGCGGCUUUCCAUCAGGUACCAGCGGUGCCCAUCGCUGCAGAGAGAGAACUCACUGACGUGCAGGUAGGGAAAUGCUGGGCUGGAGUGGUCUUUGCAAGGGAAAGUCAGUUGUGGCGAGUGAGCACAGCUUUGGCUGCUGAUGCACGGCCCUCUGCAAAGUCUGCUCGCACAAAAUUGCUCUUGUCCAAAACGUCAGUGAUGCCAUUUUGACUAGUACGACACAUUUGGACCAUAUUCAGACCAUUUUCAGCCCCCAGCUGUGGAUUAGCAACACCUGCCGAGUGACCUGGCUCUUGUGGCUUUGGAACCAUGGCUUUCUUGAAAUGUAUCUUGGGGAGGUGGGAGGCGGUAACACAGGGCUGGGUGAGGGUGCUUUGCAUGAGGGAAAACUUCGGGGCCUCUGGCUGAUUGCUUAAUGAAUCAAGCUGAAGGAUUCAAGUAGAGCUGUACGUACUGCCAGAUGAUCAUUAUGUCAUGGAAGGGGCUUGGAAGGAAGAACUUGGAAGUUUGGUGACAGACUGAUGAUGGAUCUGCCCUAGACUUGUUCAGAUAUCCUGCUGCAGAAGCUUUGUUUCCUGCUGAUUGGAUUAAUGGUCAAAAGAGAGAGCUUGGCAGACUCAAAAAAAUGCUGAAAAUUCAGGCUUUCCACAGAUUCGCUUUUGAUGGCUUGAGCCUUUUAACCACAUGGCAAUUGUAAAGACUAUAAACAAGAUUGAAUAAUCCGGUUUAAGCAAUCUUUAAUAAAAUAUAAAUUAUUUUAAUACACUAUUAUUGGCCCCUCCUUCAGGAUAUCACAAGUCUGCACUUUCAGCCUGACAAGCUAAAAUGUGCUCUGUCAAAUUACAAGCUCUGUUUUGGCUUACAUGCAGCCUGGAGGCCCCAAUGCCCCCGCUGAAGCCCCGUUCUGGGGCAUUUCGGGCACCGCACUACACGAGGGAGGCUUCGCCAACCGCCCAGAGCACAUCAGAGAAAAGCCACCAGGAAGGGGAGUUACCUGGGUGGUUCUCUUACCUGCCCCACACCCAGUGAAUAGCGGGGGUCCCUUUGCUCAGCCACCUGCCAGGCACGCAGUGGGGAGCGCUGGACCGGAGAGAGGCUGAGCAGCGAGAGGGGCUGGGGGGACACUGGGGGACCCCAACACUGCUGCGGGGCUCAGCACCCGCAGGACGGGCAGAGCAGGCAAUGGGAGCGUCCUGCACGGGUCUUUUGUCCUCGGUGUCUGAGGUCCUGUGCGCUUUAGGGUUGCAUUCGCGGCGGCUGGGUAAUUCCCCUGCCAAGUUUGUGUUCCUUUCUGUCUUGCUGUGUUGUCAUCAGAGAAAUCGUGCCAGGAGGCCGGGCUCCGGCACGGAUGGAGCUCCGG